UUUGAUAAGCUGCGCAUUCUGGAACUACUUUUACCGGCGGAGCGCGUAUGCUUCUCAAAUCGGUGCGAACUGGCCAAGGCCAAUAGCGUGGCCAGUCUUGUCGCAGCUUUUGAACGGAUGGUUGAUACGAGCGCGUUGAAAUUCACGACCUUUGGCGGUUAUUUGUGAGAAAGUGAUUAAAACAGAUUUAGCUUGUGUCCAGUGGAAGCAGCGCAGUUUAGGACGUUUGAAGUGGC